AUUGAACGCUGGCGGCAGGCCUAACACAUGCAAGUCGAGCGAGCGGCGGACGGGUGAGUAAUGUAUUGGGUUCUGCCCGAUAGAGGGGGAUAACUACUGGAAACGGUGGCUAAUACCGUAUACUAUCGGAUGAGCCCAAGUGGGGUUAGGUAGUUGGUGGGGUAAAGGCUCACCAACCGACUAUAUCUAGCUGGUCUGAGAGGAUGACCAGCCACACCAGGACUGAGACGCGGCCCAGACUCCUACGGGAGGCAGCAGUGGGGGAUGUUGCGCAAUGUGGGCAACCCUGACGCAGCCAUGCAGCGUGAAUGAAGAAGGCCUUCGGGUUGUAACGUUCUUUCGGUAGCGAGGCGUUAACUACAGAAUAAGCACCGGCUAACUCCGUGCCAGCAGCCGCGGUAAUUC
rnacentral:rRNA from 1 species